CCACCCUUACCUCCUGCCCUGCCCGUAGUGCCGCCCCCUGCUCACCUACUCACCCCCGCUACCACCCCCACCCUCUGAGGACAUGACCUUACGCUAUCAUCCCCGCCGCGGCCACUAUCCCACCAACCGAUAAGGGUACAGUGGCACACACACGCACUAUAGCGAAAAACGCAAAUGUAGCAAACUAGAAAACAACAUAAUGGACCACACUCUGAAUGCUAGCUAAAAUACGUAAAAAGGUGCACAAAAUAAACAAGAGAGCGGGAGGUACCAACUAUAACAACAGAAUAGACCACACUCGGAAUGCUAGCUAAAAUACGUAAAAAGGUGCACAAAAUAAACAAGAGAGCGGGAUGUACCAACUCCCGGUGGAAAAACCUGGAAGUGUGCUUUGCUGCGCCCGAGUUUUCCUGAAUCUUAGCAAAAUGCGCGGCUCUAUUGCGUCCUGCCGCGAGUCUGAACGAGAGUUUGAACGAUAAUUGUCGGAGGCUUGCUGGAGAUCCUCGCCGGAAAAAUAUGGCACCUGUCCAAGAAAACAGAACACACCCACACACACCGACAAAAAGCAGAAGAGAGAAUAUGAAGAAAAGGGCAGAAAGAGGAUUGAAAUAAACAAAAGAAAAGCAGAACAAAGAACUCAACAAAGGAGAUAAAUUAGCUAAAUUACACGAAAUGUAAAAAAUUCAAAAUUCGUAAAUGGAAAGGAUACACAAAUAAUGGAAGGAAGACUAUGGUUCCAGAUCUAUAUGCACUGACCGAAAAAUAGGAAAUUGCUCUUCUUUUAUUGGUUUACAGUAAACCAAGAAUCGCUUUUGACAACAGCUGAUAAUGAAAAGACAAUUACGAAUCUAGAAAUUAAACGAAAAUCUCCGAUUUAAAUAGACGGAACUAAAACUUCAGUAAUUGCAAGGAAUUUAAGAAUUUGUAGUAACAGUUUCUUAAAUGCAGAAACCAAAACAAUGCUUUAAUCUCAACGCCACAAAGCUUGCAACCCAAAAAUGGUUUAAAAAAAUUAAAAGAGUUAGAAACUGCAAAUGGGCUGACAAUGAGAGUAAACUUUCACUGAUUUUAGAAAAAGAAAAUAUAAGUAUAUGUUAGAAAAACCAGACACUUUGGUGGGUUGGUUUCACGAGAAUCUCUUCUAAAAAUUUUGGCAAAGGGCCAAAUCCUCAAAAGGUUACUUUUCCAACUGGAGAAAUAGAGAUAGUUUAAAUAUCAUUAAAACAAAUCUCCAUUAAGAUUGCAAAUCCUGGUGUUCUGCUAUGGAGAUUUAAGGGGGUUCGCCGGAG
rnacentral:lncRNA from 1 species